GACGAACGCUGGCGGCGUGCCUAAUCCAUGCAAGUCGAACGCAGUGGGGACGGGUGAGUAACACGUGGGUAACCUCCCAUCAGAGGGGAUAACACUUGGAAACAGGUGCUAAACCGAUACUGAUGGAUGGACCCGCGGUGCAUUAGCUAUUUGGUGAGGUAACGGCUCAGCAGGGCCACGAUGCAUAGCCGACCUGAGAGUGGUCGCGGCCACACUGGGACUGGGACACGGCCCAGACUCCUACGUGAGGCAGCAGUUGGUAAUCUUCUGCAAUGGACAGAAGACAGACCGAGCGACGCCUCGUGAGUGAAGAAGGUUUUCGGAUCGUAAGACUCUGUUGUUAGAGAAGCGGUAUCGAACCAGAAAGCCACGGCUAACUACGUGCCAGCAGCCGCGGUAAUAC
rnacentral:rRNA from 1 species